CAAAAUCGUCAAAAUCAUUUCAGGGUCUGUUUAAGCACAACGACUUGCCAUGUCAUGUAUUCCCCGAUGAAGGCUGGACUCCGGCCAAAACGUAGGAAAUAAAUAAAUAUAUAUAUAUGCAAUCGAACACACUUAUAAGGAUUCCGCUUUUAACAAUAUACCGGUUAUAAUAAUGAGAAGCUGCUGCACCGUUGGCUUUUGUAUGUUUUCCAUAGUGAAAUAACCCACUUACUACAAUGCGCCGAUGCUGCAUUAUCGGUUAUAACGAUGAAGUCUGGCUGCUGGGUGUCCGAGCCGAAAGGUAGUGAAAUGCGAAAUUCUUGAAAAGAAAAAAAGAAAACGAGAAAUUCGAGCCGCUGCAUGAUCGGCCGCUGCUCCAACAACCACUGCGUGCGGCUCUCUCCCAUUGCCCUUCUACCCCUCCGAACAUGAAUGGGCUGCGCCCAUAGCUCUACGCCGCCCCACCAGGCCCUGAACACUCUCAAGUUCCAGCGAUUGCCACAGAGGGCAACAAAUCAACCUCAAUCUCAAUCAACCUCAAUCAAAUCAAUCUCUCGGCAUGUGCACUGGUGAGUAAAAAAAGCAUUGCUUCGCAUCUUCAACUUUGAAUUUCUUGUGAGAAAGACGAAUAAAGCAGAUUCCUGCAGUCAUUUCGUAAAAGUGGAAAAUAAUAAUGAUUAUAAAGUUAUUGCUCUUCAAAGGCAAUUCAAACGAGGCUCUUGCUAUUUUGUCACGUUGCUAAAAUUCCUAACACGGAGUACAGCAUAAAUAAUAAAUAGUUUGGUUGUUCUUGUGUAAAUGAUACACUGCGAUAAGUUCACUGCACAUAUUGGCAAAUGUACUUCCUGUGAUACAGUUAGGUUAGUUGCAUUUGAGAUGGAAUAAAAUGACUGGCUUUUAUUACCUAGUAUCUGGCAGAAAAAAUUGUCAUCUAAUCGAGGCUUCACUAAGCACAGCCCACACAAAGACACCAUUCAAAGAAAUUCACACGCAAAACAGUGUUGUGUGUGCAUGUGCUUUCCUGUCAUGGAGCAUUUUGUGCACCAUUCUUAGUCACAUGGAUUGCAAGCUCGCUCCCUCUUACACCAUACUGAUUGAGAGUCUUUUUUCUUUAGACUCCAGCCUCCAAGACGCUGCUCACACUUGUUCACCCCUUUGGACUCUGUUGUCUCUGGACGUACAAGUUGACACUUAAUGGGUCACUAGUGACAGUAACAUCAAAGGCCAAAAUCCUCACAAUGAAGACGGACAAAAGAGAGAUUAAUGGUCUGCUAGCUGCCCAUGCCAAGCCAUAAGAAGCUCAACGGUCAUUAUAAUGACAACAGGUCCUCUUGAACUAUGUGCCUCACCAUGAAAUGUUUGCAAGUUUGCCAGAUAUAGGGGCGUGAGCCCUAUUAGGAAAGCAACAGUCUACAGUUUUGUAUCGUACUGAGCUGGAAUGCUAAAAUUUUGCAUACAAGCUUACUUGCUUUUAAGAGCAUUUUAUGACAAACGGAGAAGUAACAUGUUGAGUCCCAAGUAGUUUCUUUUCUGGUCAUUAUAGCCAUGGUGACCAGAACAGAAACAGUAUAGCAAGCUCCUACUUGCUAAUGCACAAACUCUAUCAUCUGCUCUUUGAAAUCAGCUUGAUGGGCAUUACCACUAAGUAUCACAUGCUCCCUCACAUCGAUAAUUUGUGACAUGAAAAUGCAAAGAAUUUUAAAGUGGUCAAAUGUGCUCAGUGCAAUCUUAAGUGAUACUUCAUGAUGACUGAAACUCUGGCAGUCACUUCAUUUUAUUUCUUAUUUAAAAUACCCUCAGGGCCAUAUGGCAUUAGAGAGGGGAGUGGUUACAAAGUAGUAGAGUAAAGCAAACAAUCAAGUGCGCUGAGUUCUGGUAAUCUAAUAAUUCUCCUGAUUAUACAAUUUUAGCUAAUGUUUUGUGAAAAAGUUUGUUAUCGGUGAUAGCCACAAUACUUAAGGGAAGGUAGUUUCAUUCCUGAGAUGUACACGGGAUAAAGACCGAAAGAAAGACUUUGUGUAACAUGAAUCAAUUCCUACAUUACUGCGAUGAUCGACACAUAUUAAAAUGUAAUGAGGCUGCAGUAUGAAGUCAUUGUGAAUUGUGGUGUGAUGAAAAAUUUAAUGAAAUAGUAAAAGACGGGUGACUUUACGGCGAUUAGCUAAUUGAAUAAGUGCUAGGUUAGUUUUCAUUCUUGUUGUACUUGCAGUACGGUUGUAAUUAGAAAGAAUAAAAUAAGUAGAGUUAUUCUUUACUAGUUCAGGUGAAGUAGUAAGAUUAACGUGACUGGGAUCCCAUGUUGCAGAUGCAUAUUCAAGUUUUGAGCGUAUUACAGUCUUGUAAAGCUGUGCUUUUCGCGUAGACGGUGCUUUGAAAUGUUGCUCCGUAAGUACCCAAGCAUGUGAUUAGCUUCAUUAAUGACCUAAUCUAUAUUAAUGUUCCACAUUCAGUUAUUUGUAAUGUGUACAGCAAGAUCUAUAUGACGCGACAAAAUCUAAGGGAAUGUUGUUAACAUGACAAGUGCUAUGAUUAGAAUUAGAUAUGGAUAUGUGCAUUAUUUUACAUUAGUUAAUUGCAAAUGGUUCAUGUACAGUUUGCAUGAAAUCAAUAAAGAGGCUAGCCCUGCACCAUAAGAGACAGCUAGAAAAGGUAUGUUCACACAAUCGGCCUACUCCACACUUCUCAAACAGACAAAUAAUUAAAAACAGUUUUUGUUUCUCUUCAAACAGCAGGUGACAAACAUGAGCACAGUGUCUUCCCAAGAAGUUUUUGAAAUAUGCUCGAAGUAGGCUUGACUUAACAUUCAGCCAAUCAACAGUAGACGAGCAAGGGAUGCCUCAGCAUGGGAACUUGUCUUCGUCACGGCCCUCACAAGUAUGUUUGCUUGUUGAAAAGUUCGAUCAAGGCUGAGGCUUCCCUUGCUCACAUCUUUUACUCAAUUGAAGUGUUCAUCACCUUGCAACCUCUUUGCCUUGUUUGAAUACACAAACCAAGAUGUUUCUUUUUUUUUCAACAUGAUACCAUAAAUUGCAUUUUCCAAGGAUCUGUGAGCAUACUUAUGUUUAUGUUGAUUUAGUUUCCUUGUUUAUUCACUCAAUAUUUUCUGAUGUCCUUGUAAACACUGUUGUCUCCAUAACAUUCCUUGCUUUCCUACGAUUACUCCAUUUGUGUCAAAGCCUUUACUGUCGCACCUGAACACUAAAUGUGAAGCAUAAGUAUCAAGAGCAAACAAAAUGUGCUGUAAAAUUAGCACAUUUCUUUCCCCCUACACUACGUGCCUCUCACCUAUGUGUUAUCAAAACAAUGGGGCAUUGCAGCUAGAGCUUAUCUUGCUGACAGUAAAUCUUUGCCGAGCAUGUUUUGUUUCUUUUUUUUAAUCUACCUGAAAUCGUCGAAUGCAGACAAUAUAUGUACAGUAUCAAACACAUCACGUAGCACUGUAUGCAACUACAAGUAUGUGGGUAACCCAGCAUACCCGCUGUAGUCUCUUAGUGGCUGUGGUGUUCGGCUGCUAAGCAUGAGGUCGCGGGAUUGAAUCCCGGCCACGGAGGCUGCAUUUCGAUGGGGGCGAAAUGCGAAAACGCUUGUGUACUUAGAUUUAGGUGCACAUUAAAGAACCCCAGGUGGUCGAAAUUUCCGGAGUCCCCCACUACGGCGUGCCUCAUAAUCAGAAAGUGGUUUUGGCAUGUAAAACCCCAUAAUUUUUAGCCCAGCAUAAAUAUCGCUGCCUGAAGUAUCGCUUUCCCUGCUGUACUGGCACACCAAACACAACGAGGAAGCUUCGCUUAAUUUUAGCGUUCAGUUCCAUUAAAUAGAUAACUAUCUGUGUUUCUGUAGGUUGCAAAGUUAGUAACCGACAGCAUUCAGUCCAUCUGACCUGUAUGAAAACUGUGAGCAUCUACUGCUUCAUUCACCAUUGACAAUAAACAAUGUAAGCUUA
rnacentral:lncRNA from 1 species